rnacentral:rRNA from 1 species
GACGAACGCUGGCGGCGUGCUUAACACAUGCAAGUCGAACGGAAAGGCCCUGCUUUUGUGGGGUUCUCGAGUGGCGAACGGGUGAGUAACACGGGAGUAACCUGCCCUUGACUUUGGGAUAACUUAAGGAAACUGGGGCUAAUACCGGAUAGGAGCUCCUGCUGCAAGGUGGGGGUUGGAAAGUUUCGGCGGUUGGGGAUGGACUCGCGGCGUAUCAGCUUGUUGGGGGGGUAGUGGCUUACCAAGGCUUUGACGGGUAGCCGGCCUGAGAGGGUGACCGGCCACAUUGGGACUGAGAUACGGCCCAGACUCCUACGGGAGGCAGCAGUGGGGAAUAUUGCACAAUGGGCGGAAGCAUGAUGCAGCAACGCCGCGUGCGGGAUGACGGCCUUCGGGUUGUAAACCGCUUUCGCCUGUGACGAAGCGUGAGUGACGGUAAUGGGUAAAGAAGCACCGGCUAACUACGUG